UCCUCGCUCAAAGAAUCGCAUUCAAAGCUCACACACAGAAUAUCUGCCCGGUAUUCUCAUUCCUCUACCAAGAGGAACCUAGCUUUGGGAGAAAGUCCCCGGACACCCUGCUCGAUCCUCUAGAUCCGUGGCAGGCAAUGCGGAAACGCGCCGCCAUAGAAGCAAUUUGAUAGCGGCUGACUGCCCUACUCCCUCCCGGCGCCCGUGCCUAUAUCUGACGCCCUUCGCGGUGGAAACAAUGGUGGUAUAGCGGGGUGCCGGAGAGGGGUUGUUUCAUUGGGUUGCCUUUCGUCGUGUUUGGAUAGUCAUGCGAUUGCCCUGAUCCUCCUUUUGGGGGUUUUGGGUAACUCAAUGGGGCUCAUUCUUGAGGCGAGG
rnacentral:RNase_MRP_RNA from 2 species